ensembl:lncRNA novel transcript
ACAACAACAACAAGAAAGUAUGUUUUGAAGUUGGAUUCUCUUGUGCUGUGCAGCCUCCUCCUCUGGACUUAAAAAUGGCCAUACUGGUAUCAGCCAUCGGUCUGCGAAGGGCUAAAGGUCCGGGGCACCUGCUGAGUGUGGCUGUACACCAAGUCCUCUCUCAACUCGCUCUUAGGACAAAUGCUGGUGCUUCUCAGGCUGGAUCUGACUGGCUUCUGGCUUUCACAGAACCGGAAUAAGCCGGAAUGAGCCGGAAUGGCCUCUAGAGAUGCUCUGAGGUCGGCAGGCCAGACCAUUCCUCCUGGAGCCUCUGCUUCACCGAAUUCUGAUGGAUCCCUGCCCACUCUGCUUGGCCUGUGCCCCUCCUGGCACCAUCUGCCUGAGCCUGGGCUGGCGCUCUGUCAGCCUUUGCAACACAGCUAUGAGACUUGGAAAGCUGGAGUUUGGUUUAGCAGAGAAAUGCAUUUGAAAUCUUCCCUCUAGGCCCCCCUCUUUCUGUUCCCCCUCCUCACCUCCCUCCAGGACCAAUUUAUCUGCCAGUCCAGCCUCCAAGAGGAGCUGGGGCCAAGUUGGAGACCUGCUUAUGCUUGUCAGCCUCUGUGGCCAGAUGACAAGAGAGCAGCCCACAGCUGGGAGAGGACUGGGAAGUCCCCGUGUGCAGAGCGUGCUUAACAGGGGGGCGGGCAGGUCAGAAGCUUCCCCCUGGCUGCAAAGGAGGUGUGGAGGACAGCUCCCUGGAGUUCCAUUCUUGGCCUCUUUGCACCUGCGCACAGUCCCUGGUGGUGCUGCACCCUCACAAGGGCUCCACGCCUAUUUCUAGCUCCUGCCUUCUCUGCAGAGUUCCAGGCCUGUGUUUGGCUCUAUCUACUUGGAAGACUCACAGGUUCUUCAAAACCAACCAACGUGAAGCCAGUUUGUCCUGACUUUUACCCCAAACCUGAUGACUGCUUCAUCCCCUGUCUUGAGAAGUCUCCACUGCCCACCCAUUGUCUAAACCAGCAUUAAAGUGGAGAUGACAGAGUCCCUCCUGGAGAGCCGGUCUAGCCAUUCAGUGAGUCAGCAGCACAGCUCCUCCAGCACGCAGAGAACAGCGGUCCAUGGAGGGAGGGCGUGAGCCUGGGGUUUUACUGAGGAAGGAUAGUGGGUUUUUCAGUCCCUGAAGCUGCUGCUCUGCCCACUCAGGAAGGUGAGGAAGGCAGACGACAGCGUACAUCCAGCCUCUGCUCUGCCAGGGUCGUUGAUGCCCUUUGGAAUGGAGAGCUGUGAAGGGGAAUGCCUAGGCCUCACAGAGGAGGCUCGUGACCCGGACAGGUGUGGGACUAGGGGCCAUGUCUGUAGCUCCCCUGCCACGGAGCAGAAUCUGCCUCUCCAUAAGCGUUAAGCUCUGGGGACUGUGACAUCCACGCUGGGCCUGGCUCCUGCCUUCCGCCUCCUGCCCAGCCCCUGCCAGCAGCACAUGGUGGAGACCGGUUGCCCAAAGCUCUUGUUCUCAGAUGUGGGCAGAACGGGAAUCUGCCAUGUGCCCGUGGAUUAAAAAAAAGAAACCCAGGCUGCUUUUCUGUCUGUUAGAAGGAGCCUGCACUUCAAGAUAGUGGGGAUGUAUAUUUUAAAAAAUUUCACGCUCAUGGGCCAAAGAUUUUCCCGGGGCUGUGUGCUGAUUUGCAGCCUAUCAUGUGUGGCUUUGGGACACUGGGGAAGGUGUGGAGCAGUUUAAGUGACAAACGGGUUGGAAAAGCAAAGGACACCAGGUGAGGAUGAUGGAAUUUACAUCCUGUUGCUUCCCUGAUAGUUCCUGCCAAUAUGGGAUCCCACUACUAUCUUUCUGCCCUAAAAAUAUGUGUAUAUUGAGAUAGAAACUGUUGUAAUGGCUGCAUGCAUUCAGUAGAGGAAAGGAGAGAAGAAAGAAGGAACAGAUUUAGUCCUGCCCAGAAUCUGCACUUCCACGGAGGACGCCAGGAUAUCACGGGAGAGACUGCAGCUCUGAUCAAAUGGGGCGAGCUCUUGGCAGGAGCCAGCAUGUUCCUGUGUUCCAUUUGGGAGGACAGUUUACUUUAAUGAUGUACUUUGAAAUCAGGUGGACGUCUGUAACUCCUGGACCUUUCGCAGCCUUUCCAGCCACGGUCAUCUCUGUGGAGUCAGGGGCAGGGACUUUGGGAUCAGCUUCUGCCCUUGUGAAAACAGCAGAGCAGCCUGAGAGCCAGGAAGGACCUCACCUGAGUAUCAGAUCACCUCAUCAGGCUGAAUUGUGUGGAUCUAGGGAUUUUAAAGAGGUGAUUAAGGUAAAAUGAGGUUAUUAGGGUGGCCCUUGACCCAGUGUGACUGGUAUCCUCAUAAGAGGAGAUUAGGACACAGCCACACAGAGGGACGACCACCUGAGGAUCCCUGAGAAGAUGGCAUCUGGAAGGUGAGGAGAGAGGCCUCAGAAGGAAUCAACUCUGCUGAUACUUGAUGCCAACUUCCAGCCUCUGAAACUGCGAGCAAGGUGGUUUGUUAUUCAGCAAUGGAUAAUUAGAGCACUGACUCACCUUGAUGGGCCUCAUCAUCAUUCAUCCAGAAAUCUUUUAUUGAGAAAAAUAAUAUUUGCCAUGUUGUGCAAGGAGUUGGGGUUGCAAAGCUGGGUGCUGUGAUCUAUAACACAAGGCAGCAGGAUUGUCUGACCUCCGAGAGCCAUGUGCCCUGGGAUCAUCUGGCCACAGUUAUCUCACAGAAUUCCUAAUGCACAGUCUGUGUGGGAGGUGAUGCCGGAGUCCCCCCUCCCUCUGGGCUCCUCCCCGUGCUCUGCUCACAUCACUGGGGGGUUGGCGGCAGCCUGCUGAGUCCUUUCGACCCUCAGCCCGCUCUCCAGCACUCAGACUGGCCGAAACCUGUGCCGCUGGCUCCACCCUCAGGUCUCCCCACUCCUCUCAUUAGCCACCGGCCUUCUCAGCCUUCUCUUAUUCUUGUGACUCUUGCCUGACCCUGCCUCAGCUCUGUGUCCUCCCAGACUGCUGACUGUGAGGCUUUGCCCAGCGGAUUUUCCAUCGCCAAAUUAGAGCUUUUCUUUCCUCGCCUGACUGCUCCCUGUCACUGUCUUCUGUAUCUUCCUGUUCCUGAUUUUGGCUGGCUAUCAAGAGAAGAAGAUCUACAAUCAUCCUAUCUCUCAUGGCACCUUACCAUGUGCAACUCCCUCGUAUCUAAUACCUCACUUCACCUUUUCUGUUCUUCUAUUUAUGAGCUACGUGAUGUCAGACAAGGCACUUAACUACUCUGGGCUUUGGCUCCCUUAUUUAACGAUAGGUAUCAUAAUAAUACCUGUCCUGUCCAAUUUACAGUUUGUCUGACAGUUAUUCAUUUAACAAACAUGCAUUGGGUUCCUACUGAGUGCUGGGUGAUGUAUCCAGCAUUGCUAAGACAACGGCCGUGAGAACAGCAAGCAUGCCUGGGUUUUGCAUUCUAGUGGGACGUCUUAAUCUAUUUUCUGCUAAAACAUAAUACCACAAACUAGGCAGUUGAUGAAGAAGAUACAUUUACUUCUUGCAGUUGAAGAGGCUGGGAAGUCCAAGGGCAUGGCACUGGCAUCUGGGUCAUCCCAUGGUGGAAGGUGGAAGGUGGAAGGGCAGGGACUAAGAAGAGCACCAGGUGCCAGACUCACUUUGUAACAACCCACUGUCAUAAUAACUAACCUGACCUCACAACCCAGUCACCUCCCAACAAAGUUGCAUUGGGAUUGAAUUUAUAACACAAGAACUUUUGGGGGGCAAAUUCAAGCCAGGCAUGGGGGUUAGUGUAAAUAAAUGAAUAG